rnacentral:rRNA from 1 species
UACGGAGGAUGCGAGCGUUAUCCGGAUUUAUUGGGUUUAAAGGGUGCGUAGGCGGACGCUUAAGUCAGCGGUAAAAUUGCGGGGCUCAACCUCGUCGAGCCGUUGAAACUGGGUGCCUUGAGUGGGCGAGAAGCACGCGGAAUGCGUGGUGUAGCGGUGAAAUGCAUAGAUAUCACGCAGAACUCCGAUUGCGAAGGCAGCGUACCGGCGCCCAACUGACGCUGAAGCACGAAGGCGUGGGUAUCGAACAGG